UACGUAGGUGGCGAGCGUUGUCCGGAUUUACUGGGCGUAAAGGGAGCGUAGGCGGACUUUUAAGUGAGAUGUGAAAUACUCGGGCUCAACUUGAGUGCUGCAUUUCAAACUGGAAGUCUAGAGUGCAGGAGAGGAGAAUGGAAUUCCUAGUGUAUCGGUGAAAUGCGUAGAGAUUAGGAAGAACACCAGUGGCGAAGGCGAUUCUCUGGACUGUAACUGACGCUGAGGCUCGAAAGCGUGGGGAGCAAGCAGG
rnacentral:rRNA from 1 species